rnacentral:rRNA from 1 species
UACAGAGGGUGCAAGCGUUAUUCGGAAUCACUGGGCGUAAAGAGUUCGUAGGCGGUUUGUUUAGUCGAAUGUGAAAGCCCUGGGCUCAAUCCAGGAAGUGCAUUCGAUACUGGCAAGCUAGAGUGCAGGAGAGGAGAGCGGAAUUCCAGGUGUAGAGGUGAAAUUCGUAGAUAUCUGGAGGAACAACAGAGGCGAAGGCGGCUCGCUGGACCUCUUCUGACGCUGAGGCGCGAAAGCUAGGGGAGCAAACGGGG